UCGUUCUCUCUCUUCACUUCUGAAAUAAAGUUGCUCUGCAACUUCUUCUUCUUCUCCGUCACUCUCCUCACGGCCAAACCUGUCGGAGAAGACGGUGGCGGCCGGCCAACCGCGGCGGCGCCGCCCUCUUCUCCGGCGACUCUUCACCCCAAACUCAAACUUUAAAACACGAAUCCCACUUGUUUUUGGCCGGAGAUUCCAAAUCCGGCCUCAGUUUUUUCAAAAUCCGCUUCAAUCAACCGGAUUGGCGGUAAGAAAAUAAGAAAAAAAACUUAAACCUAAAUUCGCGAUUCAACCUUCAAUAGUCACGGUUUGAAGCAAUUAAUAUAGGGGUUUUAAUUGUUUUGUAGUAACGAACAAGAAGCAUAUGGAUUUAAAGCAAGGAAAGGAAAGAAGAAAGACUACUUGGCCUGAGUUGCGUCCGACGACGUGAGCUUUUCGUCGCUUGUAGAGAUAAGUUCUUCUCCUCUUUUUAAAUCUUUUUCGCCUUCUUCUAUUCUUCCUUCUUCUUUUGGGUUUUGAAUCCAGGCCUGAGUUGCGUCCGACGACGUGAGCUUUUCGUCGCUUGUAGAGAUAAGUUCUUCUCCUCUUUUUAAAUCUUUUUCGCCUUCUUCUAUUCUUCCUUCUUCUUUUGGGUUUUGAAUCCUGUUGUUGCUGGCUGUCUUGGUCUCUUUGAAUGCUUAUGAGUUAAAAUGUUUAAAAUUAUUUUUUGAUCUCUUCUUGGAUUCUCGAAAACAUCUCUGUUUUGUUGUUUAGGGUUUGAGGUUAAUUCUAAAAAAAUGUGUGUUGUGUUGUUUGGGAUUUGAUGUUGACAGAGAAAUAUUUUGAUAACUUCUUCUUAGAUUUUCCAGUCUGUUCUUUGUUUUGGUUUGAGGUUAACAGAGAAAAGUAAUUUGAUUGUUUUCUCUUAGAUUUUUCAAAACAUUUUUUUUAUUACUGUUAAUUUGUUGUUGUUAUAUAUGUGAUGAAUCCUGAGGUUCUGAGAUAACUUGUUAAGUUAUCCUUUUUCCAGAUUUUGUGGGAUAAUCACCUUAUGGAUUUAAGGUUGUUGAUGUGGAUAUUGCAAAGUGUUCUUGAGUGUUCUCCUUGGUUUACUGUGUAACCAAUUAAUCUGCUUACUUUAUCAUUUAUUUUUCAGCUUUUUAAGUGCUUAUUUGAUAAGCUGUUUUUAAAUUAUGAAUUGGUUUUGCAGGUUUGCAAAAAGUGAAUGGACAUUGAUUGAUUUCACCAGACGAAAACCUAAACCCCGCGACAUUAAUCCCUAACGAAUUGGGCGCUUGGGAAUUUCAAGAAGCUUUUGGAAAAGUCUUUUGAAGAGUUGCUUCAAACUGCUGUAUUUUACAGCUUAUCUCCAACUUUUCAACUUCCUAGCUGUAACAGAACUUUUGGGCAUGUUAUAUAUUUUAAUUUAAAAAAAAAAAUAUUGUGAUAAUUAUGUAAAUACUUUGGAUUAUUAUAUAAACUUGGAAUUAAUUGGAACUUUGGA
rnacentral:lncRNA from 1 species